GUAGUCUGCAACUCGAGUACAUGAAGCUGGAAUCGCUAGUAAUCGCAAAUCAGAAUGUUGCGGUGAAUACGUUCCCGGGCCUUGUACACACCGCCCGUCACACCAUGGGAGUUGGAAGCACCCGAAGUCGAUGACCUAACCGAGAGGGAGGAGUCGCCGAAGGUGAAGCCAGUGACUGGGUGAAGUCGUAACAAGGUAGC
rnacentral:rRNA from 1 species